rnacentral:lncRNA from 1 species
UUUGUCUUCUUUGCCUCCUUCCCAGGUGCUACAGUAGCUGUGGACUCUUGUUAUAAGACUAACCAGAAUGGAGUUUAUUAUGGACACUGCAAAAAGGCGAACGGCACAUUCAUCCCCUGUGCAAAAAAAGAUAUACAGUGUGGGAAGUUAUUCUGUACUGGUGGUGCACGAAUGCCUACAGCUGGAAACCUACUGGUUUUUGACUCCUGCAAAGGCAGUUUUCUUAACGACAAUAAUGAAGACACAGGCAUGGUUGCUGCUGGAACGAAAUGUGGCGAUGGAAUGGUGUGCAGCAAUGGACAAUGUGUUGAUAUCGAGAGAGCCUACAAGUCAACCAACUGUUCCGCCAAGUGCAAUGGACAUGCUGUAAGAUUUGAGACUUAUUGCCAAUGACACUAAGACCUGGU